rnacentral:rRNA from 1 species
AUACGGAGGGUGCAAGCGUUGUUCGGAAUUACUGGGCGUAAAGGGCGCGUAGGCGGCGCUGUAAGUCAGAUGUGAAAGUCCACGGCUCAACCGUGGAAGUGCAUCUGAUACUGCAGCGCUUGAGUAUCGGAGGGGAAAGUAGAAUUCCCGGUGUAGCGGUGAAAUGCGUAGAUAUCUGGAAGAACACCAGUAGCGAAGGCGGCUCUCUGGACUGAUACUGACGCUAAAGCGCGAAGGCUUGGGUAGC